CGACUGAAUUGGGGAUAAGGUGCUCGACUAAUAUAGAAAAGAAUCUUGGACUGCCAAGCAUGGUAGGAAGAAAGAAGGAAGCCUUUCAAAAUCUAAAGGACAGAAUUAAACAGAAGAUAGAUAAUUGGAGUACACGUUUCUUAUCUCAAGGAGGCAAAGAAGUUGUCAUUAAAGCAGUACUUCAAGCAAUCCCUAUUUAUGCGAUAGCAUGUUUUUUGCUACCAAAAUCUUUCUGUGAGGAGAUAGAAAAACUGUUUGCCAGAUUCUGGUGGCAAAAAGGAAAAGGCAAAAAAGGGAUACAUUGGUGCCAAUGGGAAUGUAUGUGUAAGCCUAAAGAGGAGGGAGGUAUGGGUUUCCAAAAUAUGGCGCAAUUCAAUAUCUCAUUAUUGGCUAAACAAGGAUGGCGGAUUAUGAAUAAUCAGGGUUCUAUUGUUGCGCAAGUUUUUAAAGCCAAAUACUUUCCUGAAAAUGAUUUUUUAAACUCCCAGUUAGGAAACUCUUGUUCUUAUGUAUGGAAAAGUGUUUGGGCAGCCAAAGCCUUAUUGAUAACAGGGCACUGUUGGAAGGUGAGAACGGGUUCUAGUGUCACGGACCGCAGUUCAAAGCCCGUGACAAGCGCACCAAAUACAUCCAAUGGAGGUCUGUUGCUCAGAUGGGGAUCAUUUGGCCUACGAGAACUGGCCCGAUUCAAAGAGCUGUUGGACAGACCUGUCACAUUGAAGCCUGAUGGGCCCGAUAAUGAAGAUAGGACUAAGUAGUCUUAGAAGUUCUAAUUGUACACAGCUUCUAAUUCUGUAAAGUUAGAGUCCUAAUUGAAUACAGCUUUUAAUUGUAGCCAUCGGUUUUGGGGGAGCUCAACUAUAAAUAGAGAGCCUCCCCCUCAUUUGUACUCACUCCUGUAAUUGUUUCAUUAUUCUGUGUGAAUAAGAAUUGAGAGCAUUUACUCAAACUUUUCUCUCAAGCGUUCUUGCUUUUGUUCAUCUUUCAAAGAUCGUUCUUAAUUCGUUCUUCCGCUGUUCUUCAUGGAAACUUUAAGGGAAUUCUGUUGAAUCCUUUAUUGUUGCGAGUUGAGCUGACUUAGGCGUUUUUACGGUUGAAUCCAUUAUUGGUGGAAGUUAGGCUGACUUAGGCGUUUUUAAGCCAAGAAACUGCCUAAGGCCGCACGGAUGUGUGGGAAAACUCCAAGUCCGUGACAAGUGGUAUCCGAGCCAAGGGUUGAACCAAGUGAUAUCUAAGUUGUUGGUUCAAAGGCACCGUUAGGAUGUCGAGAGAAGAGUUCGAACAAAGGUGGGCGAGGAAGUCUUUGAAGGAGACAAUAUCGGCAGUAGAGGAAUGUGUGGGUAAACUCGAGGAUCCAUGGAGGAUGUAAAGGAGGCACUCGAUGGGGUCGAGGAUCACAUAGCAAACUGGAAGGAGCAGUCCAGAGACUAUGUAAAGAUGUCUCUUGGUUCCACCAUGGACAAGGUAAACGAGUUAUUUAAUUCACACAGGGAUAAGCUGUCGGAAAGGAAUGAUGCUCUCGAGGCCAUAAUGAUGGCUUUGAAGGAGGAAACAAUGGCCACGACGAGGGCUUUGAGCACAAGAAUAGAGGAGCUCGAGGGAGAGCUAGCCUUGUGUCAAGCAGCCGUGGGGAAAAGAGUGGCAAAUGCAGCACUCAGUAAUGAGGAUGUCCCAAAGCCGAAAGAGUUUGUGGGGACAAGGUCUGCAUGUGACGUGGACAAUUUCUUGUGGAGGAUGGAAAACUACUUCCGUGCCAAAGGCAUCAUGGAGGAUGCGGUUAAGGUAAACACUGCUUCAAUGUUUCUUACUGACAUUGCGCUUUUAUGGUGGCGAGGUAGGACCACAGAUAAAAGGCAAGGUGAGAUUGGGACGUGGCAAGAGUUCCAAUGCGAGUUGAAGGGACAGUUUUACCCAGAAUUUGCCGAGGAAGAAGCUCGGGCAAAGUUGCAAGAGAUAAUGCAACGGGGCACAGUGAGGGAGUAUGUUCAAGAGUUCAAGGAACUCAUGCUCCAAAUUUCAGAUGUGACCGAUGAAGCAUUGCUUGCUUUUCAAAAGGGAUUGAAGCCGUGGGUUAGACAGGAGGUGGAACAAAGAGGUGUCCAAAAACUGUCGGAAGCCAUGACGGUAGUUGAGUCCGUGGUGAAGCUUGGUCUAGGGAAAGACAAGCUUGGGUCUUCCAAGUCCGAUGGAAGGGGCGUAUGUGAAAUGGAUCACAAGGAAGAUAGAGUUAAUGGCAAUGACAACGGCGAAAAUGGUGGUAAUGGGAAACCACGAGUUGGGAAGAAGAAACCCAAGAGGAAAAGGGACAAGCUAAAAUGCUUUCUCUGCGACGGUCCACACAUGUUGAAAAAAUGUUUGAAGAAAUCCGCGCUUAAGGAGAAGCCGGUAGGUAAGGCCUUGGUACUUGGUUCGAGCGCAAGGGGUGUCGAAGCCAAGGAGGCCGAAAGUGAGAAGAAGCCAGUGGAGUGCUUCUUGUGUCAUGGUCCGCAUAAGUUGCGGAAGUGUCCGAAGAAGUCUGUCAUCGAGGGGAACGAUGGAGCAGACAAUGAGCCCAAGAAGCUUGGUUCGAGCAAGGGAAAAGCCAAAGCCAAGAGGGCAAAGAUGAGCAAAAAGAAGCAAGUUAAGUGCUUCUUGUGCCGUGGUCCGCAUGAGUUGCGGAACUGUCCAAAGCAAGCUGGAGUCGAAAGAAACGCAACGUCUGAGCUUCGUGAGUCGUCGAAGAGGCUUCCACCCAAGGAAGAUGUGAGUUUGUCAUCUAACUUAGCGGAUAAAGUUGCGAUGAAAACAGUGAAGCUGGGACCAAUGAGACUCAAGUUGAGUGAAGUAUCAGAGUUAGCCGAGUCAUCGACAAGGCUUCCACCUAUGGGAAAGGUAGGUGGUGCAUCAGACUUUAAAGGAAAAGAAGCGAUGCAUGUGGGACAGUUGACCAGAGUAAAUGCGACGAGUAGGACGGCUCGAGUUAAGAAGCGACAAAAGCCGAGGCAAGAAUCCCAAAGAAAGGGAAAGGCUAAGGCGACGAGACGAGACCGAGGCGAAUCAAGUCAGUGCCAUUCAGAAGUCGCAACGAGGGCGUUGCGAGAAUGGGUGGGGGAGAAUGUCACGGACCGCAGUUCAAAGCCCGUGACAAGCGCACUAAAUGCAUCCAAUGGAGGUCUGUUGCUCAGAUGGGGAUAAUUUGGCCUACGAGAACUGGCCCGAUUCAAAGAGCUGUUGGACAGGCCUGUCACAUUGAAGCCUGAUGGGCCCGAUAAUGAAGAUAGGACUAAGUAGUCUUAGAAGUUCUAAUUGUACACAGCUUCUAAUUCUGUAAAGUUAGAGUCCUAAUUGAAUACAGCUUUUAAUUGUAGCCAUCGGUUUUGGGGGAGCUCAACUAUAAAUAGAGAGCCUCCCCCUCAUUUGUACUCACUCCUGUAAUUGUUUCAUUAUUCUGUGUGAAUAAGAAUUGAGAGCAUUUACUCAAACUUUUCUCUCAAGCGUUCUUGCUUUUGUUCAUCUUUCAAAGAUCGUUCUUAAUUCGUUCUUUCGCUGUUCUUCAUGGAAACUUUAAGGAAAUUCUGUUGAAUCCUUUAUUGUUGCGAGUUGAGCUGACUUAGGCGUUUUUACGGUUGAAUCCAUUAUUGGUGGAAGUUAGGCUGACUUAGGCGUUUUUAAGCCAAGAAACUGCCUAAGGCCGCACGGAUGUGUGAGAAAACUCCAAGUCCGUGACACUAGGAUAUCCAUUACUGAUGCUUGGAUUCCAGAUUCUGAUAAUUUUAAAUUGUCGUCAGGAGUUAAUUCUAUGCUCGUUUCUAAAGUAAAGGAGUUAAUCGACAGUAAUAGUAGAAGCUGGAAUGCAAAGUUGAUUAACAAUACCUUCACUGAAGCAGAUGCUGAAAGAAUUCUCAGGAUCCCGCUGGCACGAUCACCGCAUGAAGAUUUUCUUAUUUGGGGAGGGGAGAAGUCGGGUGAAUUCACGGUACGAAGUGCCUAUCAACUAUUACAGAGAUCGACUGAUAAUCCUAGAGCUUAUGCUUUACAAAACCUCUACAGAAAAUUUUACAAAACACUUUAGAGCCUGAAUAUACCAACAAAAAUAAAGAUCACAAUAUGGCGGCUAUCAUGGAACUAUCUGCCUACAAAGGUAAAUCUACAACACCGAAAAUUAGCAGUCAACACAAGGUGUCCCCGAUGUGGAGAAGGAGCUAAAACGAUGAAUCACUUAUUCCGUGACUGUGCUGUUACAAGAGAGGUAUGGAAAACGUUAUCAUUUCAGAACAUUAUGAUGUAUCAAAGCGAGGAUUUUGUACAAUGGCUCACCUGGGCGCUAGAGCAGUUAAACCCAAAUCAAAGUCGACUCUUUUGCUGUGCACUAUGGGCCAUAUGGGGAGACAGAGACAGAAACAGAAACAUACAUGAAGGCAAAGUUAGUAAUGGAAUAGAUGUUGCAAACUUUGUUAGUAAUUACAUCAUUGAGUUAACUGGUCUUGAACAAAUAAACUCAGAAAUAAUGAAAGGAAAUAAGAGAUGGACACACCCACAGUGGGAAUCCAUAAAGAUUAAUUUUGAUGGUGCAUAUAAUCAGAUUCAGAACCGGUCAGCCUCAGGUGUUGUGGCCAGAGACUCGGAAGGAAAAAUUCUUUUAUCCUGCUCAGAAAUCCACAAUGGAGUUCCAUCUGCUUUUGCUGCUGAAGCAAUUGCCUGUAGGAAAGCAGUCCAAGUAGGAGUUGACCAUGGUUGGCAGGCACUCAUUUUUGAAGGAGAUUCCCUCGCAAUAAUCAAGAAAUGCAACAAAAAUGAUCAUGACAGAUCAAUGGUAGGGGCAUAUAUUUAUGAUAUACAACAGAAAAUACUAGAAGUUAAAAAUAUCAGAUUUCUUCACACACCAAGAUCUGCAAACAACCUUGCACAUAUCCUUGCAACAGAGAUGCUAAGAAGAGGAGAGGAAUUUUACCUGGAAAUGGGCGUUUCUGAUUAUGCAGAGACCCAAGCACGGCAUGAUAAGCUGAGCGAACCAGAUUAGGGAAGCAUCGAGAGAUGGAGUUUGGAAGAGAGAAAGUUUUCAGAGCAAUAAAGAAACAGAAAUGAUCUGCUAGACAAUUUUGAAAUAUGGAAUCGUCAAAAGGAGAUUGAAAUGACAGGGUGAGGCGAUGACAAAUUUCAGUAGCUUCUGAUUGGACAACGGAUCGGCGCAUUAAUUGCUGGUUCUAGAGUUUUCUUUUAAUAUCUAGAUAUUUUAGGUGAGGGCACCUGUUUCUGGGCCGAGUACUUUGUGCCCGUUUCUUUUUUUGACUUUUGCUUUAGUUUGUUUGUUUUGGACUAUUCCAAAUAGUUUGAAUGUUUUAAUCAAUAAAAGCCCAAUCUGGAAUUUCAAAAAAAAAAUUAUAUUAUAUAGUAUUAUAUAUUAUGAUUUUAUUAAAU
rnacentral:lncRNA from 1 species